GUAGGGUCCAAGCGUUAUCCGGAAUCACUGGGCGUAAAGCGUGCGUAGGCGGUCUGUUAAGUGAGGUGUUAAAUCGUGUGGCUCAACCAUAUCGUUGUGCCUCAUACUGGCAGACUAGAGGAAGGCAGAGGCAAGUGGAAUUGGCAGUGUAGCAGUGAAAUGCGUAGAGAUUGCCAGGAACACCAAUGGCGAAGGCAGCUUGCUGGGCCUUUUCUGACGCUGAGGUACGAAAGCGUGGGGAGCGAACAGGAUUAGAUACCCUGGUAGUCCACGCCGUAAACGAUGCAUACUAGUCGUAUGGGGUAUCGACCCCCUGUGUGACGAAGCUAACGCGUUAAGUAUGCCGCCUGGGAAGUACGGCCGCAAGGCUAAA
rnacentral:rRNA from 1 species